rnacentral:rRNA from 1 species
AUACGGAAGGUCCAGGCGUUAUCCGGAUUUAUUGGGUUUAAAGGGAGCGUAGGCCGAUGGCCAAGCGUGUUGUGAAAUGUGGACGCUCAACGUCCGACUUGCAGCGCGAACUGGCCGUCUUGAGUGCGCGCAACGUUGGCGGAAUUCGUCGUGUAGCGGUGAAAUGCUUAGAUAUGACGAAGAACUCCGAUUGCGAAGGCAGCUGACGGGAGCGCAACUGACGCUGAAGCUCGAAGGUGCGGGUAUCGAACAGGAUUAGAUACCCUGGUAGUCCGCACGGUAAACGAUGGAUGCCCGCUGUGUGCCCCUGGGGUACGUGGCCAAGCGAAAGCGUUAAGCAUCCCACCUGGGGAGUACGCCGGCAACGGUGAA